rnacentral:rRNA from 1 species
AUAUUGGUCAAUGGACGCAAGUCUGAACCAGCCAUGCCGCGUGGAGGAUGAAGGUCCUCUGGAUUGUAAACUUCUUUUAUCUGGGACGAAACACUUCUUUUCUAAGAGGCCUGACGGUACCAGAUGAAUAAGCACCGGCUAACUCCGUGCCAGCAGCCGCGGUAAUACGUAGGCAGCAAGCGAUGUUCGGGGUUACUGGGCGUAAAGAGUGCGUAGGCGGUUUUCUAAGUUCGGUGUGAAAUCUCCCGGCUUAACGGGGAGGGUGCGCCGAAGACUGGGAAGCUGGAGUGUGGGAAAGGCAGGCGGAAUUCCUGGUGUAGCGGUGAAAUGCGUAGAUAUCAGGAGGAACACCGGCGGUGUAGACGGCUUGCUAGACCAUAACUGACGCUGAGGCACGAAAGCGUGGGUAGCAAACA